ACAUUACUCACUAAUACUCCAAAAAUCGACUUUAGCGGACAUCGUUCGAAAUUUAUCAUCAACAAAAAUUAAAUGGCAACCAAUCAUUCAAAAAGUAAAAUGUCUGACGCUAUGUUGCUUCCGAACGGUAAAAUGAUAUUAAGUACUGACUCUGAGUCAGAUGAAGAAAAGUCUGCAGCAAAGCAUAAAUCGUCUGACCUAAAUUCAAAAAAGAAGAAAAAGAAGCACCAUAAACAUAAACACAAGCAUAAGCAUUCUUCUCAUAAAUUAAAAAAAAGUGGUGAUAGCCAUCACAAGCAUAAACACCGUACUCACAUUGAUAAAGAAGAAGUUAAUAAUAUGGGGUUGGAAGAACUUGAAAAGCAAAAAGCUUUAUUAGAAGCUAAAUUAGCCAAAGUGGAAGCUCAGGCCUCUUUAGUUUCUGCAGAAUAUGGCAGUUCUGAUGAAGCUAGUCCAUUUGUGUUUGAUUUGAUGAAUCAGCAUGAGGAGACCCUUAGGGUAACUACCUCAUUUGCAUCUGAGGUAAGGCUUGUUCAAAAGACUGAUAAAACUAAUGCUAAGACUGAACCUAGAAAGAAAAGCAGCCAUAAAGACCAUAAAAGUACAAAAGAUGUUCAAGACAAACCAUCAGUCCAUGCUCGUCUUGGAAUUUUGCCUAGAGAUAACAAUUCCAUAAGAGAUAGUAGAGACAAAAGCAUUUCUCGACGGGAUAAGAAUGAAUCAUCUGAAAGUAUUCACUCACGAGAUAAAUCACCUAAACAGAAAAAAUCAUUUUCACCCUCAAGAAAUGAACUUAUUCCUAAAGUUGAUGCGUCUCGUCAUUUUCGUGGUAGAAGCCGUUCUCCACUUUCUCGAUAUGAAAACAGACGGGAAAGAAAAGAUUGGCCUUCUCCUAGGCAUCAGAAUCGUAGUAGUCCAUCACCUAGAGCUUCAUAUCACCGACAAUCAGACAAAGGCCGACUAGAUCCAAGAGUACCAAGAUCUCGUAGUCCAAUGUUAUCUAAUCGCAGAUCUCCAGAUACUAAAAUGCGUAGUCCUAGGCGAUCAAGAAGCCCGAUUCCUCUUAAUCGCAGAUCUACUGACCAUUUUUAUCCAGACAGGCAUAGAAGGUCUCCUCCUAGACGUAUGUCACCUAGACAUCCAAAUGAUAGGUAUAAUCAACGACCUGGGAGUAAUAGUAGACUUCGAAGUCCAGACCGAAAUGGAAGAACUCAUAGCCCACGAUCUUUUAGAGAUCGAAGACGAUCUAGAGAUAGAUCACCUAGAAGUCGUAAUUCUCGUAAUAGUCCUCGACGAAAGUCUAACAAUCUAAACUCAGAAGAUCAGGAUAGGAAACAUAAAAGAGGUGAAAAAGAUAAAUUUAAAGAUAGUUUAUCUGAAGGGCAAAAAGCACAGCAUGAUGAAUCCUCUGAUGACCAAAAUGUGGAUUUAGAAUUAGAAGAUGAAGAAGAGGAUGAAGAAACAGUUAUUCAAAGAAGGAGACAGCAACGUCAAGAGCUUCUAAAAAGAUUAGGUGUUGAUCAGUCUCAAACAGGAAGUGGAAUGUCUUCUCCAGUACACUCAAACAGUGGAACAAGUACUCCUGAUUCAGCUGUCAUAGGUGAUGAGGCUGCUGCUAAUUUUUGGGCUGAGCAAGAUGAUCAGUCUAAUGAUUUUGAAGCGUCUAUAAUGGACAAAAGAAAAAUCAUGGGUUUGCAAGAAGCUGGUGCUGAAAACAUAUCUGAUGCUGAGAAGAAAAAGAAGCUCGAUAUGUUUUCUGAGGCAGAUAAUUUUUGUUCAGACCUGAGCCCAGGGACUUCUCGUUUAAUAUCUGCAUCUGGCCAAGAGAAUCCUAAUCUAACUGAUAAUUGGGAUGAUGCAGAAGGAUACUAUCGUGUGAGAAUUGGAGAAGCUCUCGAUUCAAGAUACACUGUGUAUGGAUACACAGGACAAGGUGUAUUUAGUAAUGUUAUCAGAGCAAGAGAUAUGGCUCGUGGUAAUCAAGAUGUUGCAAUCAAAAUAAUAAGGAACAAUGAAAUUAUGCAUAAAACUGGUUUGAAAGAAUUGGAAAUGCUUCGGCGCUUGAAUGAUGCUGAUCCCGAUGAUAAGUUUCAUUGUUUACGUCUAUAUAGGCACUUCUUUCAUAAACAGCAUUUGUGCUUAGUUUUUGAACCUCUAUGUAUGAAUCUGAGGGAAGUUCUUAAGAAAUAUGGUAAAGAUGUUGGCCUACAUAUCAAAGCAGUACGAUCAUACAGUCAACAGUUAUUUUUGGCUUUGAAACUACUGAAAAGAUGUAAUAUAUUGCAUGCAGAUAUCAAGCCUGAUAAUAUAUUGGUAGAUGACCGUAAGCUUGUCUUAAAGCUUUGUGAUUUUGGAUCUGCGUCUCAUGUUGCUGAAAAUGAUGUCACACCAUAUUUGGUGAGCAGAUUUUACAGAGCACCUGAAAUUAUUCUAGGUUUGAAUUAUGAUUUUGGAAUUGACACAUGGAGUGUUGGUUGCACGCUAUAUGAAUUGUACACAGGAAAAAUAAUGUUUGCUGGUAAAUCCAAUAACCAAAUGUUAAAGCAUUUUAUGGAUUUAAAAGGAAAGUUCCCAAACAAAAUAAUUAAAAAAGGUGCUUUUCGAGAGCAACAUUUCAAUAGUAGUUGUAAUUUUCUCUCACAUGAAGUGGACAAAGUCACUGAAAGGGAAAAAGUAGUAGUUCUAACAAAUAUUAAUCCAAGUCGAGAUUUGCAGGCAGAGCUUGUAGGCUCCCAACGUUUACCUGAUGAUCAAUAUCGUAAAGUUUGCCAACUCAAAGAUAUAUUAGAAAAGAUUUUGAUGCUUGAUCCUGCCAAGAGAAUAUCAAUCAAUCAAGCUUUAACACAUCCAUUUAUUCAAGAAAAGAUAUGAGGAAUAUUUUCCUUCUGUGAAGAUUUUGAACUGAAAACAUUUUAACACAAGAUACAUCACUCAACUGAGCAACAUCUGCAACUUUUCAAAAACUUUUUAUUUAUUUGUUCCCAAAUGAGUUAUGAAAACUAAACGUAAUUUGUGCCAUGCAUUGCUGUAGAAAUUCGCUAUGUAAGCUGACAGAAAGCAGUAUAUUGCUUGUGGUAAUUCGUUUUCUGUCAUUCAUUGGCUCCCAGAAGAUACUCAUGUAUAAUGGAACCAGGCAAUUCCUUACUAAUUGAGGCGUAGAGACUGCAGUCCAUAACCUGUUGAUAUAAGAAGGGACAGAAUACUACUGAUGAAGAAUACAGUUACAAGCAUUCUUGAUGGUUGCCCAUUUGAUAUAAGUAACAACUCUACAAAGCCUGUUAUGCUAAUUGUACAUAUUUAGCAUUGGUUCAUGAAAUUUAGAAUACUAAAAGUUUUGACAUAUUUAUUUUAAUAUCAAGAAUUGUUUAGAAUGUUAUGUAAUUACUGUUAUAAACAAUUUGUAUAUUGAAUUAAAUAAAGCAUUUGUGAAUUGUA